CAAGGUUUCCGUAGGUGAACCUGCGGAAGGAUCAUUAUUGAAAUAAACCUGAUAGGUUGUUGCUGGUUCUCUAGGGAGCAUGUGCACACCUUGUCAUCUUUAUAUCUCCACCUGUGCACUUUUUGUAGACCUUUCAGGUCUAUGUUGCUUCAUUUACCCCAAUGUAUGUUAAUAGAAUGUUGUGACUAUAUAAUAUAUACAACUUUCAGCAACGGAUCUCUUGGCUCUCGCAUCGAUGAAGAACGCAGCGAAAUGCGAUAAGUAAUGUGAAUUGCAGAAUUCAGUGAAUCAUCGAAUCUUUGAACGCACCUUGCGCUCCUUGGUAUUCCGAGGAGCAUGCCUGUUUGAGUGUCAUUAAUAUAUCAACCUUCUCUUUUUUGAGUUGUUUGGAUGUGGGGGUUUGCUGGACUCUUUAAUGAAUUCAGCUCCCCUGAAAUGCAUUAGCAGAACAACCUGUUCAUUGGCGUGAUAAUUAUCUAUGCUAUUGAAUGUGAGGGCAGUUCAGCUUUCUAACCGUCCUCGGACAAUUUAUCAUUAAUGUGACCUCAAAUCAGGU
rnacentral:rRNA from 2 species